CUCUCUCAGCUGGAGUGAAACGGUGCGCUCUAACAUAGCGUGCUAAUGACGGUACCAGCAGAAGAAGCACCGGCUAACUACGUGCCAGCAGCCGCGGUAAUACGUAGGGUGCGAGCGUUAAUCGGAAUUACUGGGCGUAAAGCGUGCGCAGGCGGAUUGUUAAGCAAGACGUGAAAUCCCCGGGCUUAACCUGGGAAUGGCGUUUUGAACUGGCAGUCUAGAGUGCGUCAGAGGGGGGUGGAAUUCCACGUGUAGCAGUGAAAUGCGUAGAGAUGUGGAGGAACACCAAUGGCGAAGGCAGCCCCCUGGGAUGACACUGACGCUCAUGUACGAAAGCGUGGGUAGCAAACAGGAUUAGAUACCCUGGUAGUCCACGCCCUAAACGAUGUCAACUGGUUGUUGGGGGAGUGAAAUCCCUUAGUAACGAAGCUAACGCGUGAAGUUGACCGCCUGGGGAGUACGGUCGCAAGAUUAAAACUCAAAGGAAUUGACGGGGACCCGCACAAGCGGUGGAUGAUGUGGAUUAAUUCGAUGCAACGCGAAAAACCUUACCUACCCUUGACAUGUCCAGGAUCCUGCAGAGAUGCGGGAGUGCCCGAAAGGGAAUUGGAACACAGGUGCUGCAUGGCUGUCGUCAGCUCGUGUCGUGAGAUGUUGGGUUAAGUCCCGCAACGAGCGCAACCCUUAUCAUUAGUUGCUACGCAAGGGCACUCUAAUGAGACUGCCGGUGACAAACCGGAGGAAGGUGGGGAUGACGUCAAGUCCUCAUGGCCCUUAUGGGUAGGGCUUCACACGUCAUACAAUGGUCGGUACAGAG
rnacentral:rRNA from 1 species